GGCAGUGUGGGACUCGAGGGACAUUGUUCCAGCUAAUGAUUAAGAACUCUCCAAACAAUAGGGGCUUCUUAGACAAUGGGUGAAUUUCCAGGAUGUCCGGCCCCCUUCCGAGAAGGAGGGAGAUAACAAAAUGUAAAAAAGGUGUCUGUCAAAGACCAAUCAGGCAGCUGGGGACAAGUUCCCUCUCUGGUCCGAGCCUAAGCCGGGACCAAUCAGCAGGAGAACACAACCAAAUCUAUAAUUUACAUACGGGGAAGUGGGAACCUAUAAAACUGACAUAUUCGCGCCCAAAAGGGGUUCCUUCUUCGACCUCCUGCGUGAGGACCAAGGAACCCCGGUGCACCGGCCUUCAAUAAACCUCUUGCGUUUUGCAUC